UCUCAACGACGCCUCGGAGCGCCGCGAUGGGCUCUGCCCCAGUGCGCGUCGGCGAUUGGUGGAGGGGCGUGGCCCAGGGGCGCGGCUGCCCGCGGAUUGGCCGGGCGCGGCGGGGGCGGACCCGCGCAUGCACUUAAGGGGCGGUGCCAGGGGUGCGGGGGGCAGUGCCAAGAUGUCGACGGCGGCGGUACCGGAGCUGAAGCAGAUCAGCCGGGUGGAGGCGAUGCGCCUGGGGCCGGGCUGGAGCCACUCGUGCCACGCCAUGCUGUAUGCCGCCAACCCCGGGCAGCUCUUCGGCCGCAUCCCCAUGCGCUUCUCGGUGCUGAUGCAGAUGCGCUUCGACGGGCUGCUGGGCUUCCCCGGGGGCUUCGUGGACCGGCGCUUCUGGUCGCUGGAGGACGGCCUGAACCGGGUGCUGGGCCUGGGCCUGGGCUGCCUGCGCCUCACUGAGGCCGACUACCUGAGCUCGCACCUGACCGAGGGCCCGCACCGCGUUGUGGCGCACCUGUACGCGCGCCAGCUCACGCUGGAGCAGCUGCACGCCGUGGAGAUCAGCGCGGUGCACUCGCGCGACCACGGCCUGGAGGUGGGGCCGCCGCCCGGGCCCCGCCCCCCGCCCCGGGGUUUGGCUCUGGCCCCGCGGAAGGCACCGAUGGGUGCUGGGGCUCGUGCGCGUCCCACUCUACACCCAGAAGGACCGAGUCGGCGGCUUCCCCAACUUCCUGAGCAAUGCCUUCAUCAGCACAGCCAAGUACCAGCUCCUCUUCGCUCUCAAGGUGCUCAACAUGAUGCCCGAGGAGAAGCUGGCUGAGGCCUUGGCUGCGGCCACUGAGAAGCAGAAGAAGGCCCUGGAGAAGCUUCUCCCGUCUUCCUCCUGAGCACCGUCUGCAGGCACCUCCAGGGGACACUCUGGAAGCACUGGCCGAGUGUGCAGAUGACAGCAGCAGAGCCACUGCAGACAGGAAGGUCACCACUGGCGGUCUCCUAUGGCCAUGUCUGGAAAGUCUCCCCAGCGCCCGCCUGGCCUGGUAAGGAGAGCGGCACCCCGCCCAGCUGGGCAUCUGUUCGCCUUAGAGCCCGAGGGAGCGGCCGGCGCUGUGGGCACAGGCACUUGACUCUGUAAAUAAAGUACCUGGACCUUG